AUGCUUUGAAUAUGAAUGCAUUUUCCUCAAGCGUUCCGAAAAGACUGCCUGAGCCUUGCUGUUAGAAACGUACAACCUAAUGGCGAGCUUCUCUAACAGAUUUAAACCUGCUUGCAUGCUCUUCAUCGAGUGUUGUUGUGGGCCGGUAUAAUUACUUUGAACCACUUUGAGUGCUUAAUAAUUAAAUAAAACAUCUGUUCUCCGUUCAUUGGUUUUUAGAUCAAGAGGUAAUGAUUAUUAGAAGCAGUUUGAGGGCAUUAGUAUUACGAAGCGAGAGGUGAAAUUUUUGGACCGAAGCAUUUGCCAAAGAUCUUUUCAUUAAUCAAGAACAAAAGUUAACAGAUUCGAAGGCGAUCAUAUACCGCCCCCCUAGUCCUACCCAUAAACGAUGCCAGCUAACAAUUGAGUGUAGCUACUAUUAUGGCUCUCUCAGUCGCUUCCUGGGAAACCUAAGUAUGGUU
rnacentral:ncRNA from 1 species